AUACUUACCUGGACGGGGUUAAUGGGCGAUCAAGAAGGCUCAUGGCCUAGAUUAGUGGCCUCCAUUGCACUUAGGAGGAACGCUCGUCUACCAUCUCCCCAAGUGGGAGUGGACGUCAUAAUUUGUGGCAGAGGGGGUACGCGUUCGCGCGGCCCCUAC